CGGGAGGAAACCACAGGGCCGGUCCGCCCCCUUCAGAAGGGAAAAUACCCUGGCCCACAGACCCGACCCCAGCAGCCCAGUCGACCCCAGAUCAUGAUUGUAUUUGAGAGGAGGGGGUUAGUCAGGUGGAAAGCCAGGAUGCUGGAAGAACUGACUCUUGCAGGGGUCACACCAGGAGGUGUCUAGGCAGUCCUCCUGCCUCCUUCCCCCGCAGUACGGGGGCGAACACAUCUGGAACAGGGCGUUUGAGGCUGCAAGAGAAGACUGAAGAUCAGAGAAGGGAGCAGCGGCUUUCUCAAGGAUCCAGGGGCAAGAAACAUCAAAGUAAAAAGCCAGGAUACUCAGGAUGCUGUGGACAGACCAAGGCCUGCAACCUGUGCCACAGGCUCAGGGGAAGAGAAAACACUCAGGAAGGGAUGGAGAGGCGGACAAAGCUGAAUGAAGAGUGCCUGCCGGGAGCACUGAGAGAAGCAGAGGACUGUGGAGGGAGCACUGAGAGAAGCAGAGCAUUAUGGAAAGCCAGGAGCAGGAGAGCAGUGGGGCCCAGUGAGCUGGACAGACCUCUGCACUUGGUGGGAUUCCCAAAGCUCCCGGGGUUAUCCUGAGGUCUGCCUCUGUUGUGGAUCAGAACUCUAAAUUUGCAGCCUGCCUUCACUUGCUGCGGGACUGACUGUCUGGGAUUCCGGGGACUCAGGAUCCUAGCCUGCUAAAAGAGGUUUCUAUUUCUCCCCUCCCCCACAUCUGUGAGCCCCACCCUGUGGGAAAGAGAGACUCCCAAACUACAGCACCCUCCACCCGCCCUGCUUGGAGACACCGACCACAGACAAAGGCAUCAAGCCAUCACUUGCUACCUCUUAGAAUCCCGUCCUCAAACCUGGACUUCAUAUCCAGUAAGGAACGCAGCCCGCAGCCCGUUCACACAGUGUGGCUGGUACACAGCUAGCUAAGGAGCUGUCCCAUCCCCCCAAACCAAGAGAGCUGUUCCACCACUGAAGCCCUGCCUCUGGCCCCUCCCUAAGCCACAAGCACACACCCUAGCUAGAACUAAAGUCGAGACUCCACCCAGCCCCAUACCGCAGAUGCAGCUCAGGAGAUGGCUGAGUGGACCUGGGGGGUCUGGAAAACCUGUUGGCCUGCCUCCUGGUUCAGUCUUAUCUCCACCCACCGCUCUCUGGUUUCCCCAUCGAGGAAGACAUCCCUGCCCAGUCACUGAAGACUCUGCCUCGUGAGGGCCCUGGGUUGUUCUUCCUUAGACCCAGCGAUGCAAGGCUUGUCCCGCACAGCUGAGCUCCAGCCCCUGAGAUCUUCGGGGCUCCUACACCCGAGUAUAGAAGUGUGUCCUCAUCACCUACAGAUGUAGCACUCGGAGGGCAUCAGGCCCAGGGGACUGCAGUUGGCCUCAGAGACCGCAAAGCCAGAGCAGGUUCAUGGCUCCCACAGCUCAUCCACCUGUCACCGUCACCACAUCCAGAGCUAAACCUAUGCUGGCUUCUCUGAGCCCUUCAGGAACACAUUCCCAAAGUUGUCCUGGAGGAGGCCCUGCACGUUCAAGCUGAUGAAGCUUUGCCCUGAUUUGGGGGUGCCUCUGACGCUUCAGAAGUUCUCCUACUCCUCAGCUCCUCCUCCAGGCCUCACAUGGGAGGACUCCCAGGGUGGGGCAGGGUGCUGCAGUAAUAAAUGGAUGGA
ensembl:lncRNA